rnacentral:tRNA from 1 species
GGAAUGGAUAUAGCUCAGUGGUAGAGCGCAUGCUUAGCAUGCAUGAGGUCCUGGGUUCAAUCCCCAGUACCUCCA